CUGUGUGGUUACAAGUGUCACACGGUACUGCCGGUCUAAAACCGGAGGAAGGUGGGGAUGACGUCAAGUCAGCAUGGCCUUUAUAUCCUGGGCUACACACACGCUACAAUGGCCGGUACAGUAGGUAGCGAAGCCGCGAGGUGGAGCCAAUCCACAAAGCCGGUCUCAGUUCAGAUUGCAGGCUGCAACCCGCCUGCAUGAAGAUGGAGUUGCUAGUAACCGCAGGUCAGCUAUACUGCGGUGAAUACGUUCCCGGGGCUU
rnacentral:rRNA from 1 species